rnacentral:rRNA from 1 species
CACGGGGGGAGCAAGCGUUGUUCGGAAUCACUGGGCGUAAAGGGCGUCUAGGCGGUCAGGUAAGUGGGAUGUGAAAUGCCCCGGCUCACCCGGGGACCGGCAUCCCAUACUGCUUGGCUUGAGUACGGGAGAGGAUGUGGGAAUUCCUGGUGUAGCGGUGAAAUGCGUAGAUAUCAGGAGGAACACCGGUGGCGAAGGCGCACAUCUGGCCCGAUACUGACGCUGAGGCGCGAAAGCUAGGGGAGCAAACGGG